GUUGCCUUGCGGGCUUACUCUAGGGUCCCAUAUUACAGUUGUUGGGAAACCAAAGAAGGCCCAUCCGGAGCAUGACCCAAAGAUAUCUUUGCUGAAAACUGGUCAAUUCUUGAUGGUUUCACAGUUUAUGAUGGAGUUACAGGGACUGAAGACAGUUGAUGGAGAGGACCCACCAAGGAUUCUCCAUUUCAAUCCAAGAUUGAGGGGUGACUGGAGUGGAA
rnacentral:misc_RNA from 1 species